CCAUCAGUGUUUUUUUGUUUGUUUGUUUGUUUGUGUUUUUUUUGCGACAGAGUCUUGCUCUGUUACCAAGGCUGGAGCGCAGUGGCAUGAUCUCGGCUCACUGCAACCUCCGCCUCCCAGGUUCAAGUGAUUCUCGUGCUUCAGCCUCCCGAGUAGCUGGGAUUACAGGCAUGUGUCACCAUGCCAGACUAAUUUUCGUAUUUUUAGUAGAGAUGGGGUUUCGCCAUGUUGACCAGGCUGGUCUCAAACUCCUGGGUCCAAGUGAUCCGCCUGUCUUGGCCUCCCAAAGUGCUGGGAUUACAGCCGUGAGCCACCAUGCCUGGCCUGUAACUCCAUCAGUUUUGAUCCCAAGAUAUCUUUUUCAGACUGACUCAUACCUCACAAAAUAAUUCUUAUCUAAAUGAAAAAUGUUUUCUUUUGUAUCUUGAAUUUUUAAUGAUAAACCAGACAGGAAGUUUCUGGGCAUUUCUCCUUAUGUAUUGCCUAUAUGCUGUAAGCGGAUUCAUAUUGUGUAUAUCAGUGGUUUCUACGCUUAAAACAAACAUCUGGUAGCAGGUACAGGGCAGAUAUUGCCAUUUCAUGUUGUGUAUCAUGACUCCAUGUGAUAUUUGACAAAGAAUUCUGCCAAUAGCUUUGUUACACUUUUUUUUUUUUUUUUUUUUUUUUAGAUUGAGUCUCGCUCUGUCACCCAGGCUGGAGUGCAGUGGCCCAAUCGAUCCCAGCUCACUGCAACCUCCACCUUCCAGGUUCAAGCGACUCUCCUGCCUCAGCCUCCUGAGUAGCUAGGACUACAGGCGUGUGCCAACACGCCCAGCUCAUUUUUGUAUUUUUAGUAGAGAUGGGGUUUCACCAUAUUGGCCAGGCUGGUCUUGAACUUCUGAUCUCAGAUGAUCCUCCUGCCUUGACCUCCCAAAGUGCUGGAAUUACAGGCGUGAGCCACUGCACCCAGCCAGCUUUGUUGCACUGUCUCCAAACAGAAUAUGUUAUUAACUUUGUAGCUAGUUGUGUAAGCAGCUCUAUAACAAAAUGAUUUCUACCAAUUUUUUUCUACAGAAAUGUAACUUGAUCUCUUUUAACCACAAAAUGUAUCCACAUCAUACAGGAAAACAUUUUGCAUUUAUUCUGGAAAAAUCCAUUUUACUUGGUAAAGAAGCUACAGCAUUUUUUUUUUUUUUUUUUUGAGAUGGAGUCUUGCUCUGUCGCCCAGGCUGGAGUGCAGGGGCACCUCGGUUCACUGCAACCUCUGCCUCCCAGGUUCAAGCGAUUCUCCUGCCUCAGCCUCCCAAGAAGCUGGGAUUACAGGCAUGCGCCACCACGCCCGGCUAAUUUUGUAUUUUUAGUAGAGACGGGGUUUCGCCAUGUUGGCCAGGCUGGUUUCGAACCCCUGGCCACAGGUGAUCCGGCCGCCUCGGCCUCCCAAAGUGCUGGGAUUACAGACGCGAGCCACCGC
rnacentral:lncRNA from 1 species